CCUACGGGCGGCAGCAGUGGGGAAUAUUGGACAAUGGGCGCAAGCCUGAUCCAGCCAUGCCGCGUGAGUGAUGAAGGCCUUAGGGUUGUAAAGCUCUUUUGUCCGGGAAGAUAAUGACUGUACCGGAAGAAUAAGCCCCGGCUAACUUCGUGCCAGCAGCCGCGGUAAUACGAAGGGGGCUAGCGUUGUUCGGAAUCACUGGGCGUAAAGCGCACGUAGGCGGACCAUUAAGUCAGGGGUGAAAGCCUGGAGCUCAACUCCAGAACUGCCUUUGAUACUGAUGGUCUCGAGUUCGGAAGAGGUUGGUGGAACUGCGAGUGUAGAGGUGAAAUUCGUAGAUAUUCGCAAGAACACCAGUGGCGAAGGCGGCCAACUGGUCCGAUACUGACGCUGAGGUGCGAAAGCGUGGGGAGCAAACAGGAUUAGAUACCCCGGUAGUC
rnacentral:rRNA from 1 species